rnacentral:rRNA from 1 species
UGAGGAACAUGACCUUCGGCGGGGGAUAGCCGGCCCAACGGCCGGGUAAUACCGCGUACGACCACAUGGGGACAUCCCUGAGUGGUGAAAGCAGCAAUGCGCCGAUGGAGUGCCUCGCGGCCUAUCAGCUAGUUGGUGAGGUAAUGGCUCACCAAGGCGACGACGGGUAGCUGGCCUGAGAGGAUGGCCAGCCACAUUGGGACUGAGACACGGCCCAGAUCCUACGGGG